UACGGAGGGGGCUAGCGUUGUUCGGAAUUACUGGGCGUAAAGCGCACGUAGGCGGCUUUGUAAGUUAGAGGUGAAAGCCCAGGGCUUAACUCUGGAAUUGCCUUUAAGACUGCAUCGCUAGAAUCGUGGAGAGGUGAGUGGAAUUCCGAGUGUAGAGGUGAAAUUCGUAGAUAUCAGGAAGAACACCCGUGGCUAAGGCGGCUCUCUAGUACGGUACUGACGCUGAGACGCGAAAGCGUGGGGAGCGAACAGG
rnacentral:rRNA from 1 species